GACUGGCCAGUCUGUGGCCAGGCAAGGGGACCUGCAAGACAGCUGUGGGUAAAGGGCAGCUGGCCUGGGGACCUACACACCCAGCUGUCAUUGGCCAGCUGGAGGACUGGAAGGGGUCCCAGGCUGGCCCUGGCAGAUCCAGUGGAGAAGAGAGCUCAGCUAUGGUACGGUUGGCACAGUAGAACCUUCUGGGCUUUUCUGCUGUCCCCUCCCCUCAGAGGCUGAUUGGUCCAGGGCUUUCCUCUCCCCUGGGAAGUCUCAGGGCAGAGUGGCCCAAUGCCCUGAUAGUGCAGGCCAGGCUUCUGUGCUCUCUGGCAGGGGCAGGCGAGGCCGGGUUACCCAACAGGCAGAUUAUGCACGGCCUUAGGGCAUUGGCAGGAAAAGGGCACUAACCAAGUGUUUUGGUUUUACUUUUUUAAGGGCUAAUACUUGGUUCUUCAAAAACAGCAAGGAAGUAGUCACUCUGAGAAAAAUUGGAACUUUAUUGGACUUCCUCACAUUUAUUUUAAGGUUCAGGAGUUUUCUGAUAUGAGUUUGUGUGUGGGGGAGGGAGAGUGCUGAAGGGUUUAAUCCAGCUCGGGGUAAGACAAGGAUCAGGAAGUGGGUGGGGACAAGGGUGUUGAGGAGGGAGCUCACAAGGUGGCUUCAGUGCACAGCUCUGUGCCCAGAGGACUGGGACUUUUGGAGAGAGGGGGUGCAACAGCGGGGAGCUGGCCUCGCCCUGCUGCAGGGUGGGUGUGCUGUAUGAAGAGGAGGUCCCCCAACCCAGCCCUGCUGCAAGGAGGCCAUGCCAGCCCCCGAGGGCCCUUGGGCUGCAGGCUGGCAUGAGGGAUGGCAGAGCUGUGGAGUUACUGUGGAGAGUUACUGUGGGGAGAACAAGGUCCAGCAGCCUGAAAUCCCCACCGCUGAGUUUGGUCACUGUGGAAAUGGCACAGUGGACAAAGACAGUGGUCACUUUGUAGAGAGAAGUGGCAGCUCAUUUCCUGGAACUUGGUUCCAACAAUGGUGAUGGACCCCCUGCGUCCCCUGAAGGGCAGGGCAGGGCAGGGCAAGGCAGGGCAGGGCAGGGACUCCAAGUCUUCUCCCACAGUCUUGACACUGGCAUGUGUUUCUCACUACCCCUCUGCCUUCAGCAGCAAGCAUGCUCCGCGGCCACCCUGCUCUGGUGCUCUCAUGCAGUACCUCCCCGCCAGGCAUGGGCUGUGCUGGAGGCAGACAACUGCUGACAGGACAGGCCAGCCAGCAGCAGCCCCAGGAUGCACAGCUGUCUGACUGCCGUGUUCUCAGAUCCAUUGUCAUCCAGCUCUAGGCCCCCGGCAGGGACAAAGCCACCAGCCUUCCCCCUUCUUGGUCCUCUGGCCUGGCUGUGCACCACUCUCCCUCUACCUGGACAGGUCCCCAGCUGUGUGCCCAGCUCAGUGCUCGUCUGUGGUCAAAGCAUCUCUCUCCAGGGCUAUCACUGUCUUUCUGAUUGACCGUGGUGUCGGGGAUGGCUCAGCCAAGCAAGAGGGAGCUAACAGCAAGUGGGAUCAUUCUUCAAGUCUGGCAGGAGGCAGAACCUUCAGAAGAGUCCUCCACCAGAAUUCCUCACUGGAUGAUAUCAUGGUACCACUGGGUACCCCCAGAAAACUGAGCCUAGAAAAUGGCUCCCAGAAUUCCUGAUGGGCCACCUGUAGUAGCCUCACUCAUAUGCAUAAUGAGGCUCACACUGAGACCCAAGUAGACCCAGAGAGUGCUCACUCACAGAGGGACUCACGCUGGGAGCCUCAGGUUCCUGGGGGCGGGGGGGCCUUAGCAGUCAGAGGCCUGCAUGGAACAGCCUUGGAGUCUGGGAUGAGUCCAGGCUUCAGGCUGACCUGCGCUUGUCUUGCAAUGCAAUAAAUGGUCUGGGUAUUUACUUAUCUCUCUCUCUCUCUUUGAGACAUGGUCUUAUUGUGUGGCACAGGCUGGCCUCAAACCAGUGACAAUCCUCUUGCUUCAGCCUCCUGAGUACUGGGAUUACAGCAUGGGAUUACCACAUUCGGUUUAAGGAUUUCAUCUCUCUGAGCUCACGUGGCAUAGAGGUGAAUUCUACUAUCACAGAGGGCACUGAAUGAAAUGAGUUUACCGUUGUGCCAAGUGUUGCACGCUGUGCCAGGUAGCUGUACACUACACUAGUCACACUUUAGGCUGGCCUGUGAGGAAGACAGGGCGACCCGUUUUCUAUCACACCUGGUUGUUUUAUUUCUCUGAGACAAGAUUUCACUAUGUAGUUCAGGCUGGAUUCAAACUUGUAACAAUCGUGCUGCCUCAGUUUCACAAGUGCUACAACUACAGGCAUGUACCACCAGCCUGGCUAGUGUUGUGUUGUGGUGUUUUGGGGAGGGGAGGGUUUUUUGUUUGGUUAGUUGGUUUUUGUUCAUGUUGUUUUGAGACAGGGUCUCACUAAGUAGUUCAGGCUGGCCUUAAAUUUGCAAUGGUCCUCCUGCCUCAGCCUCCCAAGUGCUGGAAUUACAAGUAUGUACCACCAUCCCUAGGUUUUUUGUUUUUGUUUUUGAGACAGUUUUGCUAUGUACCCCAAGCUGGCUUCAAACUCAUGAUUUUCCUUCAGCCUCUCUCAUAACUUUUAUAGUACUAAGGUUUUCUUUCUUUUUUUUUAAUCGGUACCUACCAGGGAUUGAACUCAUAGCUGCCUGCUUGCAAGGCAGGCACUUAUGCCACCGAGCUAAAUCCUCAGCCCCUUAGUGCUAAGGUUUUCUAAGA